GGGUGUGUGGCUUAAGUGGUAAAGCAUUGGCCUUGACAGGAAAAUGCCAAGUGAGAACAGGAGACCCUGAGUUCAAGCCCCAGCACCACCU
rnacentral:tRNA from 1 species